rnacentral:tRNA from 1 species
GGGUAUAGCUCAGUGGUAGAGCAUAUGCUUAGCAUGCGUGAGGUCCUGGUUCAAUCCCCCGUACCUCCA